CGAGCGGGCGAGGUUGCAUCGGUAACUGAGCUAAGCGGCGGACGGGUGAGUAAUGCUUAGGAAUCUGCCUAUUAGUGGGGGACAACAUUCCGAAAGGAAUGCUAAUACCGCAUACGCCCUACGGGGGAAAGCAGGGGAUCUUCGGACCUUGCGCUAAUAGAUGAGCCUAAGUCAGAUUAGCUAGUUGGUGGGGUAAAGGCCUACCAAGGCGACGAUCUGUAGCGGGUCUGAGAGGAUGAUCCGCCACACUGGGACUGAGACACGGCCCAGACUCCUACGGGAGGCAGCAGUGGGGAAUAUUGGACAAUGGGCGCAAGCCUGAUCCAGCCAUGCCGCGUGUGUGAAGAAGGCCUUUUGGUUGUAAAGCACUUUAAGCGAGGAGGAGGCUACUUGGAUUAAUACUCUAGGAUAGUGGACGUUACUCGCAGAAUAAGCACCGGCUAACUCUGUGCCAGCAGCCGCGGUAAUACAGAGGGUGCGAGCGUUAAUCGGAUUUACUGGGCGUAAAGCGUGCGUAGGCGGCUUCUUAAGUCGGAUGUGAAAUCCCUGAGCUUAACUUAGGAAUUGCAUUCGAUACUGGGAAGCUAGAGUAUGGGAGAGGAUGGUAGAAUUCCAGGUGUAGCGGUGAAAUGCGUAGAGAUCUGGAGGAAUACCGAUGGCGAAGGCAGCCAUCUGGCCUAAUACUGACGCUGAGGUACGAAAGCAUGGGGAGCAAACAGGAUUAGAU
rnacentral:rRNA from 1 species